rnacentral:rRNA from 1 species
AACAAACGCUGGCGGCGUGCCUAAUACAUGCAAGUCGAACGGGGAAAGCUUUCGGGUGAGUACUAGUGGCGCACGGGUGAGGAACGCGUGGAUAAUCUGCCUUAGAGUGGGGGAUAACUAGUCGAAAGAUUAGCUAAUACCGCAUAAGACCGCAGGAGCUGCGGCUCUAGGGGUCAAAGGUUUUUCGCUCUAAGAUGAGUCCGCGUAAGAUUAGCUAGUUGGUGAGGUAACGGCUCACCAAGGCGACGAUCUUUAACUGGUCUGAGAGGAUGAUCAGUCACACUGGAACUGAGACACGGUCCAGACUCCUACGGGAGGCAGCAGUAGGGAAUAUUGCACAAUGGAGGAAACUCUGAUGCAGCGACGCCGCGUGAGUGAUGAAGGCCUUCGGGUCGUAAAGCUCUGUCGCAGGGGAAUAACACAAUGAGUGUACCCUGUAAGAAAGGAUCGGCUAACUUCGUGCCAGCCGCCGCGGUAAGAC